rnacentral:lncRNA from 1 species
GGGGACUUCCUGUGUCCUUGUGGAGGGGAGAAAGUUGGGGGGAUGCUGCAAACAGCAUUGUUUCUUUUUUUGCUGUACGUACAGAUAUCUACCUUGGUUCUUUCCCAAACUCCUUUGCUCUCCUUCAACUCUGAGCCAAGGAUUUAAAUUAUCAAAUCCAGCUUUUAAUCUGUGUCUUUAGGGAAGUCUUAAAGGCAUUCUAAGACUCAGCUUCUUCACAUGAAAAAUGGGGUUGUAAUAAUGCCAGUUUCAUGCAGCUUUCAUAAGGAUCAAACGGUACACGGGAAAAUGCUUUGAAAACUGAAAAGUGCUGCACAUAUUCAUGUAUUGGUAUGUCACGCCAAAGGUGAGGCUUAUAAUAAGUGUUAAGAUAAUCCAUAUUUUAUGAAUGAGAUGUGUUCAGUAGUCUACUGGCCAUAGGGCACUAAUUCACAAAACUGAUAAUCUGUUGAAUACUUGAGUAUUAUUAUGGCUAUGUCAAUUUUUGAAAACAGGGCAAAGGUAAAAUAUUUGUUUGAAAUGAUGGCUAAGGAAAUGAUGGUUAAAGAAAACAGAACUUUCACAUCUGGCACGAUAGCCUUUCUAAGCCAGGAAAAUCCUUGGCAACAGCCUCUUCCAAUAAAUCAGCAUGUCAGAAGAAACAAUGACCCUUCCCUCUAGGAGAGGAACAAAACCACUCAACUUUCCAAUGUAGAAUUGGAACAGAAGUCUCCAAAACAACUUCGAUACAUCUUAUUCCCUUCCCAUUCACUGAAGGCAAGUACAAGGGGUGAUGGAAUUCCUUCAACUCAGUCUGUCAAGAGGCUCACCAAUCCAGAACGACCCUCAGAAACCAAGAUAAGAGAGUGAAUUAAUUGUCCAUUGUAAAUGUCGAUAUCCUUCGGCCAAGCUACCAACCGUUAUUUUCUAAUAUCUCAGAGAUGAAAGGCAACCUGUAUGUCAUCUUACCAUACUGCCUUCUUUAACCCAGGAGGAAAUAUGGACCUAAGAGAUGAGGCACCUUGGUCCCAGGGCAUCCGUUGAAAAUUUUUAUGUGCUUUUUUCGUAAUACAACAUGGCCUCUCUAAUUAUUAACUCUGGACAAGCAUUCUAUUAUCCAAUUGAUUUAUUGAGUGCUUACUAUGUGCUUAGCUAUGUUUUUGGGACAAAUUCUGGGAAAAAAAUGAAUU